GUGGAUGUGGCUCAAGUUGUAGCGUGCUCACCUGACAUGCGUGAGGCAUUGGGUUCGAGCCUCAGCACCACA
rnacentral:tRNA from 1 species